AGUGAACGCUGGCGGCAGGCCUAACACAUGCAAGUCGAGCGGCAGCGGGUCCCCGCGAGGGGAUGCCGGCGAGCGGCGGACGGGUGAGGAACACAUCGGAAUCUGCCUGGUUGUGGGGGAUAACGUAGGGAAACUUACGCUAAUACCGCAUGCGACCCUGAGUCGACGGACUGGGGGGUGAAAGUGAGGGACCUUCGGGCCUCACGCGACCAGAUGAGCCGAUGUCGGAUUAGCUAGUUGGCGGGGUAACGGCCCGCCAAGGCGACGAUCCGUAGCUGGUCUGAGAGGAUGAUCAGCCACACUGGGACUGAGACACGGCCCAGACUCCUACGGGAGGCAGCAGUGGGGAAUCUUGGACAAUGGGCGCAAGCCUGA
rnacentral:rRNA from 1 species